rnacentral:rRNA from 1 species
AUUGAACGCUGGCGGCAGGCAUAACACAUGCAAGUCGAGCGGCGAGGCGGACGGGGAAGUAAUGCCUAGGAAUCUGCCUGGGAGUGGGGGAUAACGUCAAGAAACGGGAGCUAAUGCCACAGACUAUCAGAUGACCCUAGGUCGGAGUAUUUAGUUGGUUGGGUACAGGCCUAACAAGGCGACGGUCCGUAACUGGUCUGAGCGGAUGAUCAGUCACAUUGGAACUGAGACACGGUCCAGACUCCUACGGUAGGCAGCAGUGGGGAAUAUUUGACAAUGGGCGAAAGCCUGAUCCAGCCAGGCCGCGUGUGUGAAGAAGGUUUUCGGAUUGUAAAGCACUUUAAGUUGGGAGGCGGUACCAACACAAUAAGCACCGGCUAACUUCGUGCCAGCAGCCGCGGUAAUUC